rnacentral:lncRNA from 1 species
CGUUUUCGUUACCUAGGAUCUAUCUUGCAAAAGAACGGAGAAUUAGAUGGAGAUCUCAACCAUAGAAUACAAAGCUGGAUGGAUGAAGUGGAAGAGUGCAUCCGGCGUGUUGUGUGACCGCCGUAUGCCACUGAAGCUCAAGGGAAAAUUUUAUAGGACGGCAAUAAGGCCGGCGAUGCUAUAUGGCACAGAAUGUUGGGCGGUGAAACAUCAACACGUACACAAAAUGGGUGUAGCGGAGAUGAGGAUGCUUCGUUGGAUGUGUGGGCACACGAGAAAGGAUAAGAUUAGGAAUGAGGAUAUCCGGGGUAAAGUAGGAGUAGCCGAAAUUGAAGGAAAGAUGAGAGAAAAUCGGUUACGGUGGUUUGGACAUGUGUGCAAAGAAGGCCUACUGACGCUCCGAUUAGAAGAUGCGACUAUGGGACAGAGGUUCAGGGCCGAAGGGGUAGAGGAAGACCUAGGAAAACUUUGGAAGAGACUCUAAGAAAAGACCUAGAGUACUUGGAUCUAACGAAGGACAUGACACAGGAUCGAGCACAAUGGCGUUCUAAGAUUCAUAUAGCCGAUCCCACUCAGUGACUUGGAUUUUCCAAGUCUCCAACCGAGAAGUUUUCCUCACUCGGGAAAUUAAGGGAACACUACCCCAACCUACAUGCUCCACUCAGAAGCUUCAACAUACAAGCUUCAACAAAAGAAAUUUCAGAGAACUUAGCGAAGAAGGCUUUGGUGUAUUUAACACAAUACGUUGAAAUGAAGGAAAGCUUAUUUAUUGAUAUCCCCGAUAAGCUACAAAUAUGUACAUAUACAUGAGUCAAAAUAAACACACAAGAGGGAGCCUUCACAAAGGUUGCUUAGGAGAAGUCUCAGCAGUCGGUAGAGCCCCAGAAAGAGAAGGCACCGGAGGGGGAUCAUUUGGAGCCUCAGUACUGGACAGAACCCUAGAAGGAGGAGGCAUCAGAGGUUGAUCAUUCAGAGCUUCAUUACGCGGUACAGCCCCAGAAGACGAAGGCAAUAAAUGCCUUUGGAACAAACCCACAAAUCUCUGAUGAUCAAGUAAAACCUGACCAUCAGUUUCCUUCAUCUGGUCAAGCUUCCUCUUCAUGUUUGUAGCAUAGUCAUGUGCGAGCCGGUGCAACUGUUUAUUCUCAUGCUUGAGCCCCCUAAUCUCCUGUUUGAGACUCAUCACUUCAGCCGCCAAUGAUUCAACUUGGCGGGUUCGAGCAAAUAGGCGUUGGGCCAUAUUAGACACAGAACCUGCACACUGAACACUGAGAGCCAGCGAAUCCUUAACAGCUAACUCAUCAGACCGUUUGGAAAGUAGUCUGUUAUCUUUGGGAGUGAGAAGGUUCCUGGCCACCACCGCAGCGGUCAUAUCAUUCUUCAUCACGGAAUCCCCAACGGUAAGAGGACCAGUAGGGGAGACGAAGGAUGGGCGCCAUAUGUUGUCUGGAGAAGGCGGGGCUGCCUCUUCAACAAGGUUCAAGUCAAAACGACGGUCGGAGGGGCCAGACAUUUUUCAAAGGUGUUGAAGAGAGAAGAGGUCGGACAAAUCAAGAUCUUAGAAGUGCAAGAAUGAAGCUUCUACUGGUGGAGAUUCAAGUGUGCUUUGGAACUUAAUGCCAGCCCCUAUAAAAAUCUGCACUCGACGGAGCUUCAGAAAUCGAAGAGGCGCCUGCUCAGAAAUCGAAGAGGCGUUUGCUUUCUCAAAAGCUGGGCUGCUUAGAGAUCACGAGGGUUGAUCUCAGAAAUCGAAGAGGCGUUUGCUUUCUCAAAAGUUGGGCUGCUCAAAGACCACGAAGGCCGAUCUCAGAAAUCGAAGAGGCGCUCGCUUUCUCAAAAGCUGGGCUCCCCAGAGACCACGAGGGCCGAUCUCAGAAAUCGAAGAGGCACCUACUUUUCCAGCCUUGUCAGCACCUGUCACACGCACACUCAGCUUUGCGGAAAUUAUGGGCAUUCUGUCGAAGACUUCUGGGGAAGUAGAAAACACAUGAAUCUUACUGUUCAAUCACCCACUUCCCACACGCAACAAUAGCUCAUGGGUACCACAGAUAACUUUGCCAAAGUUCUCUGCCAAAGUUGAGCACGUGAAGCUUGCAGCUCCCACUACAUCGCUCUGACCAAGAAGGGUAAAAGAAUAGCAAAGAAACAGCACUAACAAAGUUUAGACCCAUAAAUUUUGAAGGUCUAGCUACCAUAUUAUUACCCACAAGGGUAAAGGAACAGUACCACUGCUGGAUAAUUGGAAAGUCCCUGUGUGUCAACCUCUGUGCUUCGUGGCAAGGUAGACUAGCAAACAUUCCCAACCUUUACUCACAUUCGAGAAAACACUCCCAAUAAGAUUGCUUGCUCCAAAAUCGAAGAGGCACCGUCCUCCAAAUCUCGAGAGCCAGACUCCCAACAUGACUACUUUCUUAAAAAUCGAAGAGAGGGUAAAGGAACAGUACCAUUGCUGGAUAAUUGGAAAGUUCCUGUGUGUCAACCUCUGUGCUUCGUGGCAUGGUAGACUAGCAAACAUGCCCAACCUUUACUCACAUUCGAGAAAACACUACCAACAAGAUUGCUUGCUCCAAAAUCGAAGAGGCACCGCCCUCCGAAUCUCGAGAGCCAGACUCCCAACAUGAUUACUUUCUCAAAAAUCGAAGAGACACUGCUCCCCGAAUCUUCGAGAGCCAGACCCCCAGCAUGAUUGCUUUCUCAAAAAUCGAUGAGGCAUCGUUCUCCGAAUCAAUCGAAGAGGCGCUCGCUUUCUCAAAAGCUGGGCUGCUCAGAGACCACGAGGGCCGAUCUCAGAAAUCGAAGAGGCACCUACUUUUCUAGCCUUGUCAGCACCUGUCACACGCAACAAUAGCUCAUGGGUACCACAGAUAACUUUGCCAAAGUUCUCUGCCAAAGUUGAGCACGUGAAGCUUGCAGCUCCCACUACAUCGCUCUGACCAAGAAAGGUAAAAGAAUAGCAAAGAAACAGCACUAACAAAGUUUAGACACAUAAAUUUUGAAGGUCUAGCUACCAUAUUAUUACCCAUAAGGGUAAAGGAACAGUACCACUGCUGGAUAAUUGGAAAGUCCCUGUGUGUCAACCUCUGUGCUUCGUGGCAAGGUAGACUAGCAAACAUGCCCAACCUUUACUCACAUUCGAGAAAACACUCCCAACAAGAUUGCUUGCUCCAAAAUCGAAGAGGCACCGUCCUCUGAAUCUCGAGAGCCAGACUCCCAACAUGACUACUUUCUCAAAAGCGAAGAGAGGGUAAAGGAACAGUACCAUUGCUGGAUAAUUGGAAAGUCCCUGUGUGUCAACCUUUGUGCUUCGUGGCAAGGUAGACUAGCAAACAUGCCCAACCUUUACUCACAUUCGAGACAACACUCCCAACAGGAUUGCUUGCUCCAAAAUCGAAGAGGCACCGCCCUCCGAAUCUCAAGAGCCAGACUCCCAACAUGAUUACUUCCUCAAAAAUCGAAGAGACACUGCUCUCCGAAUCUCGAGAGCCAGACCCCCAGCAUGAUUGCUUUCUCAAAAAUCGAAGAGGCAUCGUUUUCCGAAUCUCGAGAGCCAGAUACCACAGACCACUUUUUCAAAGUGCUCUGACAGAGUUAAAACAUGUGAAACUGGCAGCUCCCACUACCGUGCUAUGACCAAGCAGGGUAAAGGAAUAGCAUUACUACUUGUUGUUAGGGAGACUCCUAUAUAUGUCGACCUCCAUCCCCAACGGACAGGCAGACCUGCAAAAAAUGCUCAACCCUUCAUCAUAUCUGAGAGGGCACUCCCAACGAAGCCUUUCGAAAUAUUCAGCUUUCUUUCCCCCCGAUAAUACCUCUGCAAAACAAGCUAUACUAGAGCAAGAAUAUCUCAUAUCAUCAGGGUUAAAAAGCAAGAGUAUCCCAUAUCAUGCUUUUUCCCUGUCUUUUCCUUUGGCCUCGUUUUUACCUGCAAGACAAGGAGAAAGAGAGCAAUCAGUCAGCACUUGGAAUCAAGCUUCCAGCCAGGAACUGACUGCCUGGAACCCCUUACCUGAUUACUUACCUGGCAUUGCUCUCGAGUACUCAUCUUCAACAUGUUAUGUUUUCCAGGGAAGAUUCCGCAUCUGCUUGAGGAACAGAUAGGGCAAGUGCGAAGGAUACAAGGAAGCAUGUGGAGACAAGCGUAACAGCACACGUGCCGAUACAUCCAUUACUCUGUCAAAAGCAAAAGUAUCCCAUAUCAGCAGGGUGGAACGUACUCUAGAUUUGAUGGACUUGUUUUGACCCUCAAAUUCUUCAGUCGGCCUUAUACUCUGGAGGAAACCAGAAAACCCUCCAGCUCAGUUCAAGAAUAAGCCUGUGGAAAGUUACUUCUUCAAAAGCAAAAGUAUCUCAUAUCAUCUCUUCUCAUUUUUCUUCUCUUUAUCCUUCAUGUUGCUGCAAGAUGGGGAGAAGGUGAACAAUCAGUCGGAGCUCUGAUUGCUUACCUUGUCUGUCACCUCUUUCAGUAGACCCCCUAGCUCGGCGACUUGGGGGACUUCUACUACAUGGUUUGUAUCGCGCUUGACCAAGCCUGAAACUACAAGUAAGCUUCAAGUGAAAUUGAUACAUUACCUUGUGCAUCUCCACCAGUUAAAGAUACCACCCCUGGAUGGAGGAAGAGUACUUCCAGAGAAGAUGCCACAUCUACCUAUGAGACAGAUAAGGCAAGUCAAGACGACACCACACUCCGAUACUUAGAAGUUUCGUGAUUACGAGAUCAUUCUCCCACAAUAUUUCCUAAUGUCAUUUGUACUAAAUCAUUCACUUGUACUCACUAAAGGAGAGCUUGAACCUAUGUACUUGUGUAAACCCUUCACAAUUAAUGAGAACUCUUCUAUUCCGUGGACGUAGCCAAUCUGGGUGAACCACGUACAUCUUGUGUUUGCUUUCCUAUCUCUAUCCAUUUAUAUACUUAUCCACACUAAUGACCGGAGCAAUCUAGCGAAGAUCACAAAAAGCGACCGUUUUCGCUACCUAGGAUCUAUCUUGCAAGAGAACGGAUAAUUAGAUGGAGAUCUCAACCAUAGAAUACGAGCUGGAUGGAUUUAGUGUAAGAGUGCAUCCGGCGUGUUGUGUGACCGUCGUAGGCCGCUGAAGCUCAAGAUAAAAUUUUAUAGGACGGCAAUAAGGCCAGCGAUGUUGUAUGGCACAGAAUGUUGGGCGGUGAAGCAUCAACACGUACACAAAAUGGGUGUAGCGGAGAUGAGGAUGCUUCGUGGGAUGUGUGGGCACACGAGAAAGGAUAAGAUUGGGAAUGAGGAUAUCCGAGGUAAAGUAGGAGUAGUCGAAAUUGUAGGAAAGAUGAGAGAAAAUUGGCUCCGGUGAUUUGGACAUGUGCAAAGAAGGCCGACUGACGCUCCAGUUCGAAGAUGUGACUACGGGACAGAGGUUCAGGGCCGAAGGGGUAGAGGAAGACCUAGGAAAACUUUGGAAGAGACUCUAAGAAAAGACUUAGAGUACUUGGAUCUAACGGAGGACAUGACACA